rnacentral:rRNA from 1 species
UACGAAGGGGGCUAGCGUUGUUCGGAAUUACUGGGCGUAAAGCGCACGUAGGCGGACUAUUAAGUCAGGGGUGAAAUCCCGGGGCUCAACCCCGGAACUGCCUUUGAUACUGGUGGUCUAGAGUCCGGAAGAGGUGAGUGGAAUUCCGAGUGUAGAGGUGAAAUUCGUAGAUAUUCGGAGGAACACCAGUGGCGAAGGCGGCUCACUGGCUCGAUACUGACGCUGAGGUGCGAAAGCGUGGGGAGCAAACAGG